CAAUAGCGUAUAUUAAAGUUGUUGCAGUUAAAAAGCUCGUAGUUGGAUUUCUGGUGGGAGCGAUCGGUCUGGCGCUUAGCGCGAGUACUUGCAUCGUCUCCGGCCAUCCUUGGGGAGAGUCUGUCUGGCAUUAGGUUGUCGGGCAGAGGAUCCUCAUCGUUUACUGUGAAAAAAUUAGAGUGUUCAAAGCAGGCUUAUGCCGUUGAAUAUAUUAGCAUGGAAUAAUAAGAUAGGACUUUGGUACUAUUUUGUUGGUUUGCGCACCAAAGUAAUGAUUAAUAGGGACAGUUGGGGGUAUUCGUAUUCCGUUGUCAGAGGUGAAAUUCUUGGAUUUACGGAAGACGAACUAUUGCGAAAGCAUUUACCAAGGAUGUUUUCAUUAA
rnacentral:rRNA from 1 species